AUGUACACCGGCAGCAUGGGCGCCGUCGCUGGUCUCUCCUGCUCUACCUCCACCUCCACCACCACCUCCUCCUCCUCCUCCUCCUUGGAGUCGUUCCCGUCCGACAUGAGCAGCGGCGAGACGAUUGGUCCUCGGCCCAAGAACUCCGCAGCGCCGUCGUACAUCGGCGUGCGGGCGCGGCCAUGGGGGCGGUUCGCGGCGGAGAUCCGGGACUCCUCUCGGGGAGGCGCACGGGUGUGGCUGGGCACCUUCGCCACGGCGGAGGCAGCCGCGAUGGCCUACGACCAGGCAGCGCUGUCCUCACGGGGCGUGGCCACGGCGCUCAACUUCCCCCUCGAGCGCGUCCAGGACUCGCUCCGCGCUCUCGGCGCCACAGGCGCGAGCAUGGCCGGCUCGCCCGUGCUGGCGCUCAAACGGCGCCACUCCAAGAGAAGGAGGCGCAACAAGGCCGAGAUAGCGAACGACGCGGCGACAUGCAUGAGGAGGAGCAAGGGCAUAGUCAAGCAGAAGAAGUUCAUCGUGGAGCUGGAGGACCUCGGCGCAGACUACCUGGACGAGCUUCUCAGGAUUACUUGUAAUACAGCUUACUAG
rnacentral:rRNA from 1 species